GUUACGGCGGCCAUAGCGAGGCGGGAAACGCCCGGCACCAUUCCGAACCCGGAAGCUAAGCCCCUCAGCGCCGAUGGUACUGCCCUGGAGACGGGGUGGGAGAGUAGGACACCGCCGAACAC
rnacentral:rRNA from 1 species